rnacentral:rRNA from 1 species
UACGUAGGUGGCAAGCGUUGUCCGGAUUUACUGGGUGUAAAGGGCGUGUAGGCGGGUCAGCAAGUCAGAUGUGAAAUCCCGGGGCUUAACUCCGGAACUGCAACUGAAACUGUAGAUCUUGAGUACUGGAGAGGAAAGUGGAAUUCCUAGUGUAGCGGUGAAAUGCAUAGAGAUUAGGAGGAACACCAGUGGCGAAGGCGGCUUUCUGGACAGUAACUGACGCUGAGGCGCGAAAGCGUGGGGAGCAA